rnacentral:rRNA from 1 species
UACGUAGGGUGCGAGCGUUGUCCGGAAUUAUUGGGCGUAAAGAGCUCGUAGGCGGUUUGUCACGUCUGCUGUGAAAUCCCGAGGCUCAACCUCGGGCCUGCAGUGGGUACGGGCAGACUGGAGUGCGGUAGGGGAGAAUGGAAUUCCUGGUGUAGCGGUGGAAUGCGCAGAUAUCAGGAGGAACACCGAUGGCGAAGGCAGAUCUCUGGGCCGUAACUGACGCUGAGGAGCGAAAGCAUGGGGAGCGAACAGG